rnacentral:tRNA from 1 species
GACACUUUGGCCGAGUGGUUAAGGCGCAGGCCUGCUAAGCCUGUGGGUUCGCCCGCCUGGUAUGUUCUACUCACUUACCCAAAUAACACAACAUCAUCUAACAGUCCCCCUACAGGGUUCGAAUCCCAGAGGUGUCG